UACGUAGGUGGCAAGCGUUGUCCGGAUUUAUUGGGUUUAAAGGGUGCGUAGGCGGCCUGUUAAGUCAGGGGUGAAAGACGGUAGCUCAACUAUCGCAGUGCCCUUGAUACUGAUGGGCUUGAAUGUACUAGAGGUAGGCGGAAUGUGACAAGUAGCGGUGAAAUGCAUAGAUAUGACACAGAACACCAAUUGCGAAGGCAGCUCGCUAAACUGUAACUGACGCUGAGG
rnacentral:rRNA from 1 species